UACAGAGGUCCCAAGCGUUGUUCGGAUUCAUUGGGCGUAAAGGGUGCGUAGGUGGCGCCGUAAGUCGGGUGUGAAAUUUCGGAGCUUAACUCCGAAACUGCAUUCGAUACUGCGGUGCUUGAGGACUGGAGAGGAGACUGGAAUUCAUGGUGUAGCAGUGAAAUGCGUAGAUAUCUGGAGGAAUACCGGCGGCGAAGGCGGCAUCCUGGACCAUAACUGACACUAAGGCGCGAAAGCGUGGGGAGCGAACAGG
rnacentral:rRNA from 1 species